GAUGAACGCUGGCGGCGUGCUUAACACAUGCAAGUCGAGCGAAAAGUUUUGAAGAGUUUCUUCGGAUGAAAUUUAAAAUGGAAAGCGGCGGACGGGUGAGUAACGCGUAGGCAACCUGCCCCAUACAAAGGGAUAGCAUUUGGAAACGAAUAUUAAUACCUUAUGAAACUUAACUAGUGCAUGCUAGGUAGGUCAAAGAGUUAUCGGUAUGGGAUGGGCCUGCUUCUGAUUAGCUAGUUGGUGAGGUAACGGCUCACCAAGGCGACGAUCAGUAACCGACGUGAGGGGGUGAACAGCAACAUCGGAAGGGAGGCACGGUCCGAACUCCUACGGGAGUGAGCAGUGGGGAAUAGUGCACAAUGGGCGAAAGUCUGAUGCAGCAACGCAGCGUGAAAGAUGAAGGUCUGUGGGUAGUAAAGUUCUAUUCUAGGUGAUGAAAACUGACAGUAACCUAGCAGAAAGCCACGGCUAACUCCGUG
rnacentral:rRNA from 1 species